rnacentral:rRNA from 1 species
UACGAAGGGGGCUAGCGUUGCUCGGAAUCACUGGGCGUAAAGCGCACGUAGGCGGAUCUUUAAGUCAGGGGUGAAAUCCUGGAGCUCAACUCCAGAACUGCCUUUGAUACUGGAGAGCUUGAGUUCGGGAGAGGUGAGUGGAACUGCGAGUGUAGAGGUGAAAUUCGUAGAUAUUCGCAAGAACACCAGUGGCGAAGGCGGCUCACUGGCCCGAUACUGACGCUGAGGUGCGAAAGCGUGGGGAGCAAACAGG